rnacentral:rRNA from 1 species
AUUGAACGCUGGCGGCAGGCCUAACCCAUGCAAGUCGAGCGAGCGGCGGACGGGUGAGUAAUGUCUGGGAACCUGCCUGAUGGAGGGGGAUCACUACUGGAAACGGUAGCUAAUACCGCAUACCAUCCGAUGUGCGCAGAUGGGAUUAGCUAGUAGGUGGGGUAACGGCUCACCUGGGCGCCGAUCCCUCGCUGGUCUGAGAGGUUGACCAGACACACUGGAACGGAGACACGGUCCAGAUGCCAACGGGAGGCAGCAGUGGGGAAUAUUGCAAAAUGGGCGCAAGCCUGAUGCAGCCAUGCCGGGUGUGUGAAGAAGGCCUUCGGGUUGUAAAGCACUUUCAGCGGGGAGGCGUUACCCGCAGAAGAAGCACCGGCUAACUACGUGCCAGCAGCCGCGGUAAUAC